GCCAGGUAUAGUGGUGCAUGCCUGCAAUCCCAGCUACUUGGGAGGCUGAGGCAAGAGGAUCACUUGAGUCCAAAAGUUCUAGGCUGCAGCGCAUUCCAUUGAUCAAGUGUUUGGCAUCCCUAUAGUGACCUCCUGGGAGUGGGAGACCGCCAGCUUUUCUAAAGAGGUUGUAAACUAGCCCAGGUCAGAAAUGGAGCAGGUCAAAAUAGCUAAAAGAGAAGAUUUUGAAUGUUUUAACUAGAAAAAAAGUCAAAUGUCUGAU
rnacentral:sRNA from 1 species